UAAUACGUAGGUGGCGAGCGUUAUCCGGAAUUACUGGGCGUAAAGCGCACGCAGGCGGUUCGGCAAGUCUGACGUGAAAGCUCCUGGCUUAACUGGGAGAGGUCGUUGGAAACUGCUGGGCUUGAGGCAAUGAGAGGGGUGUAGAAUUCCCGGUGUAGUGGUGGAAUGCGUAGAUAUCGGGAGGAAUACCAGUGGCGAAAGCGGCACCCUGGCAUUGGCCUGACGCUCAUGUGCGAAAGCGUGGGGAGCGAACGGGAUUAGAUACCCCGGUAGUCCACGCCGUAAACGAUGAGCACUAGGUGUGGGUGGUGUGAAAACUAUCUGUGCCGAAGUCAACGCGCUAAGUGCUCCGCCUGGGGAGUACGGCCGCAAGGCUAAAACUCAAAUGAAUUGACGG
rnacentral:rRNA from 1 species